CUCGUAGGCGGUUCGGUAAGUCGGGUGUGAAAACUCUGGGCUCAACCCAGAGCCGCCACCCGAUACUGCUGUGACUUGAGUUCGGUAGGGGAGCGGGGAAUUCCUGGUGUAGCGGUGAAAUGCGCAGAUAUCAGGAGGAACACCAGUGGCGAAGGCGCCGCUCUGGCCGAGACUGACGCUGAGGAGCGAAAGCGUGGGUAGCAAACA
rnacentral:rRNA from 1 species